CUUUUGAGUUUCAGAUUCUCAAUGUUGCUUUCAUCUUCUUCAAUGUUGUUCUGUACCAGUUGAUGAUGUACUGUUGAGCAUUUUACCUGCAUUGGUGUGCUGUGAGCAGAAACUGGCUUUGUAAGGGUUAAAUUUGUUUCUUUUCUACCUUUCUCGUGGAUAUAAAGCAUUAAUACUCACCAACAAUUACCCUAGAUUUUCAGCUCCUCCCUUUUUUGUAUCAGAAUUUCUUACUUUGAUUAACUUGGUGAUGGUUGCUGAAAUUUAUCUGCUUCAUCAUCUGUUUGUUCUAUUAAUUGUUCCAAGCAAUGACAUGUUGCCAUGUUGGUUUAUUAGUUAUAUGUAGUUUCAUCCCGGCCCAUCUCUCUUUUCCAUAAACGCAUGCGAGGAAAGGGUUUUUCUAUUACAUCAGAAAUUCUUCCAUUGAUGAGUUGUUAUAAGCAGCAGCAUGAGACAAGAGGAUGUUGUGGGCUACAAUAUAUGGUUCCGUGGAGGAGUUUCCUGUCCUACAGAAAAUAUGACCAAGAAUAGAGCACCUCCCAGGAGCCUGAAUGCCUAAGUCAUAGCCUUGGAUUGACAUACCAUGUGGUUCAUUGAAGGUGAUCCAGUGUUUCACUCUAUCUCCGAAAGCGUGGAAACAAGUGAACGCGUAAUGCACGAAGUCUUUUCUCAUCUGCGGAAGAUCCCAAUGAUACAGCGUCACGUAAGGCUGGAUUCCUGAUUGAAAAGAAGAGCUAAGGAUUCAGUUAAGAGCUUUUACUAAUCUCAAGACAAUGAUUGAAGUGGCAGUUUGCAUGAGCAACCUUUUUCCAGUAACGAAUCGAUGAGGCUGUUGUAGUAUUUUAUCCCUUCUGGAUUGGGUUCCCCUGUUCCAUCUGUUUUUGACAAGUAAACCCCAAAGCAAGUUAGAUACUCUUGCAACUAAAAUUUGAAUGCAGUGGAGUUCAAACAAAAGCUUAUCUUACUUGGGAAGAUUCUGGACCAAGAAAUUGAGAAUCUCUCCUUCAAACUGUAACAAAUGGAAUCAACAAUGACAAUCAUCAAGCUACACUUUGUAUCUUGGCUGUUGUAACUAGAACUAGCCAAGGCAAAGAAAAACAUAUCGGCACCUGGUACGCAGAAGAGGCUGUUCCAAAGGUGAAUCCCGGAGGAAAAUCAGCUCUGCUAAUAGAUUCUGAGUAGACAAAGAAAUGGGUGAACAUGAGAAAGAUGAGUCUGAUUUUCAUGGUGAAGGUUCCUCUUUUCUCAAGGAUUAGAUCAAUGAGGCAAGGCAAGGCAAGGCAGUAGAGCAGAAAAAGAAGAGUAUGAACAUAAUUAGCCACUGACCUGGAUAGAGACAAUUAGAGCAACCCAGAUGGUAUUUUUUUUUAACGUCGUAAUUAUAUGAAAGUGGGUUGUUUGGGGACCUCUCUCUUGCUAUUAAUUAACAAUCAAGUACAGUAUGGGAGCAAGGUAGAGAAGGAGAAUGGGGGGUUGGACAUGAUGACAAGCAUAUAAUGCUAAUCUUGUACAGGUUUUAAGGGGGUGAGAGUGACGGGUAGCAUAAAUAUGUUUGUUUUUCUAUCUACAUUUGUAAGAGGAAUGCCUUGUACGGGUUGCUUACUUUGAUGCCAGGUUUGUGGACAUCUGGAAAGUAAUGCUAUUGAGUCUCUGUAUGAAAUAACUUGAAGAGAGAGAGAGAGAGAGGCAGUCUUUGUUCUUAUAA